CCGCGAACAUGCGCAACACACGCGUGCGUGUGUGCGUACCGUGAACAGACGCACCAUCGCCCCACGACUUGUACAGACGCUUCCUGAGAAUUACCCCAGCCGCCGAAAACCCUCACCGCUGGCAAUGUCCCCUCUGUGCCCGCACCUUGCUCCCUCAAUAUUACUUCCGUCACUGCGAACCGUUCCGCCGCUUUCUGCCCCGCCCCGUAAGCCCGCCAGAUCCCGAGCCUCGAGCGCCGCAGCCACCUCCGCCCAGCGGGCCUCCGCUGGAGGUGCCCCUAUUGCCCGCAGAUGUACUGCAGGUAUUCGAUCCGCCGACGUUGCCACAAGGUGAAUUCCCGUUGCACUGACCCCCUCUUCCCGGAGGUGGACGGUAGCACCAUCCGCCGCCCCUGAGACACGCCCCUGUCCGUUGCGGAGCCCUCCGCCACUCAUCCCGGCCGUGUGGUUUGCCCCGCCUGUGGGAUGCCCGUGGUGCGUUUUCGCCUUGGCGUACACCACCGGUCGGCGCACGCGACCCUUUUGCCCCCGGACAGUGAGGUUGGCCACGACCCGGUCGAACGCCGCGCCGUUGAGAUGGAUGCACGCCGUGCCCGCCCCCACCGUCUUCGUGUCUACUUAAGGGCUGGCGAACUGAGGGCGCACCAGGCAGAGAAACAUGCUCGCAGCCCCCGCCCCAGCGCCGAGCCCACACCCGGACCCAGAGUUUCCUCAUUCUACUGCCAGUGGCGCUCCGCUACCUAUUGCGCGCGCUCCAGACUGCUAUUCCGCCUAUGGAUGCACCACCCGCAACACCGCACACGCAUCUUCAUGGAGAAUGGCGUACCUAGGACGCGGAAGCUCCGCCACCCAAAACGCUACAGCGCACGAUAUGCCUCAGCACCUUCAUCGUUCCUGCUCUGCACACGGUCCACCUUAUCCGCGUCCAAUGGGGUCGGCGAUCUUGCAAAAGCCUUGCCGUGGGUGCGUGACCACCGCUGCGAGGAGUUCCCCGAGCGUCUACGGUGUUGCCCAGGCCUGGAAGAACAACAUCGUCACGGAAUUGCCGACGCCAGCGCCGCCAAGGUCGCCUUCGCCGCCUCCCCCUCCAUGCUUCUCUGCGAGCCGUUUGGACUGCCCGAUCCAUGCCUGCCCCCGCCCGAGGAGGCAUUCGACCCGUCUCUCUCCGCCGUCGGUGCAAACCGUCCAAAGUGCCUCUCCCCCAUCGUUUCGAGAUUAUGCGCUGCCUCGGAUUCGCGCUCCGGCCAGCGAGAUGGGGGGGGGGGCGGUUGCCGGCGGAAGGAGCACGUGACCUAUCGGAGAGACGCUUCCGCGCACAGGAAGAAGACCUCGCGCAUGGGGCGUCGAACCGCCACGGAUGGCGCCUCGCUACGGCAGCGCUCGCAGUGAUCAUUCCUGAAAAGGGGGGAAAAAAAGACAUGCACGGGCCGUUUCCAAAUACCCCGGCCUCUAUGGUCGAAGGCCUCCACAAGACUGCCGACCACCUGAAGGUGGUGCAAAGUGCGCUCUCUC
rnacentral:misc_RNA from 1 species